ensembl:lncRNA
GUGAGUUUCAGGGAGCGGUUUUACGGUCUGAUAGUGGGAUUCCUCGACAAGCGUCUCUUUUCACUUCGUCAGUCAUCUGUGCAGUCUCUGACUCUGAAUUACCAGAACCUUCCGGGUAGACCGUCAGAGAUCGAAAGCAGCCCUCUGGUUUGCGCGAUUUCACUGCUUUUCUCCAUAUCGCGUGCAGGCUCUGCGUGGGCUUAUCCGUGGACGGCUGCACACACGACACCUUCUCCUAACUGAAGAAGACAUCCUGACACCAUGAGUAAUAUGACCAAGAGCUUUGAUGAAGAGCUGACUCUGGAUGUUGCUGUCCAAAACCUGAGGAAGAUGAGAAUAAACAGUGAUGCAGCGGAGUCACAGAACACACACGCAGAGAGAAAACCAUCUGCGUCCUCCGCCUCCUCUGCUGUGGUGCCUGUUAUCACCAAGGUUGAGAUGCUGGUUCAGACACUUCACGGUGGCACCACUGAGUCCGGGAAUAAGGUCACUGGAUCAGGGAAUAGAAUAUCCGGGUCAGAGAAUAAAGUCUCUGGGAAAAACAAUAUAGUCAUUGGAUCAGGAAAUAUAGUCACAGGGUCAGGGAAUAGAGUUGUUGGGUCACGGAAUAAAAUCACUGGCUCACAGAAUAUUGUCACUGGAUCAGGUUUUGUAAUUACAGGGUCAGGGAAAAAAAUCACCGGGGAUGAAACAGAUGGGCCCAGAAUGAGACAACUACAGGGGAAUUUCUAAUUGUUUUUUGUACUGCACACAGUGAGUACAGACUUCAAGGAAGCUUGUGUUUUCAGUGUUUACUUUAUGGCCUCAGUAAUGACACUCAGGGUGUGAAUUAACAUUAUGAAUUAACAUGUAAAGACACUGAUUCAGCUUUCUGUAUUGGAACUUCAGCAGGGAAAUAACAGUAGUGGUCAUAUCUCUGAGUGGACUGACAGCCAGUGUGCUCCCAUUGGAUCCUUGUGGUACUGUGCUUGCUCACACAUGUGGCUAAGGUUAGGGUUGAGGAUGGGGGUGGGAGUAAAUUCUGCUACUCAUCGUAAAGAUCAUUAGAGAGUAGCGAACUCAAAAAAUAACACGUGGAUCCAAAAAUACUUUUGAAAAAAAUGUGUGUGUGUGACGUCACAUCAGAUUUACA